rnacentral:rRNA from 1 species
UGCGCAGGCGGAAUAAUUAGUCAGUGGUGAAAUCUCUCGGCUCAACCGGGAAACUGCCAUUGAUACUGUUAUUCUUGAGUAUAGUUGUAGUGGGCGGAAUAUAGCAUGUAGCGGUGAAAUGCUUAGAUAUGCUAUAGAACACCGAUCGCGAAGGCAGCUCACUAAACUAUAACUGACGCUCAGGCACGAAAGCGUGGGGAGCAAACAGGAUUAGAUACCCUGGUAGUCC